AACGCAGUGACACCAAGAGUGUCAUAAUGCAACAGAAACACGGCUCUGGUGUGUAAAACUUGAAAAUGCUGUUAUUUUUAUUUUUAAACACAAAUCUAGUUGAAAUUAAAUGUUUAUUAUAUUAUACAAGACAUGGUAUGCUAAUACCGUUAAACGUAAAGUGAAUUUUGACAUCUACUGUAAAAAGAAGGCUGCACACAUUGAACAGACUUUUUAUAGACUUCAAGGUUCACUUUAAAAGAAAGUAAAUAACGGAUCUGCUCAAAAUCUGUCUACAGUGGCUCUCCAUAGAGUGUGCUAUGCGUAGAGGGUUGUGUUUUUUUGUGUUGUUGUUUGUUUUUUUGGUUCACCUCUUGAUCGUGUCUGUUGUAGGGAACUAGAAUUUUGUAACCAUAGUGACGAGCAGCCGAGCACUUGCUGCAGGCCACACUGAGCUUCCAUUGGCUGCUAGAUGCAUGUUGACAUGUUGGUUAGUGCUGGUGGGGGAAGGGCAGAGACUCACACACUGACCUGCACUGUCAUGAAGAUCACUAACCCGUAUAUCAGCACUCAUACUCUGAGGAAAAAGUCUCAUAGUCGAGGUCGUGCACAGGCCGAUGAUGAGGACAGCAUGGAUGCCACUGAUGUCACACCAACUCCAGACGUUGACAUCGCAUUGGAGAUGGAUUUGGUGGAGCCAGAAACGGAUGAUGAUUUUCCUGAGCCACUGGAUCUCAGCCCCAGAGAUGAGAGGCCUCUGUCCCCGCUCUUCCAGCGCUCCGUGUCCGAAGACUCUGCUGGCUCCUCUGCCACCUCCACCAGAAAAGCCAAAACUAGGUUGGUGUUAAACACACUCUCUCUCGGCUGA
rnacentral:lncRNA from 1 species